rnacentral:rRNA from 1 species
AAAAACAUUUCCUCUUGGUAUAAGAGGUAAGGCCUGCUCACUGACUAGGUUGAAGAGCCGCAGUAUAUUGACUGUGCUAAGGUAGCAUAAUCAUUAGUCCUUUAAUUGGGGACUGGUAUGAAUGGCUAAACGAGAAAUUAGCUUUCUUUGUUAUGGUUUGUUGAAUUUAACUUGUAAGUGAAAAGGCUUACAUGAUUCAGAAAGACGAGAAGACCCUAUAGAGUUUUACAAAGGCCUAAAAUACAGCUUAUUAGUUUUUAAGGGUUAUAUCUUGGAAAUUUGUUUGGUUGGGGCGACAUAAAGAUAAAAAAAACUCUUUGUAGUAUAAACUUUGGUGGAAGAAAAGGUUUGAUCCUCUAAAAGGGAUUAUAAGAAAAAAUUACCUUAGGGAUAACAGCGUAAUCUUCUUUUAGAGUUCAAAUCGACAAGAAGGUUUGCGACCUCGAUGUUGGACUAAAAUUUGGGCAAGGUGCAGCAGCUUUGUUUUUGGGUCUGUUCGACCCGUAAUAUUUUACAUGAUCUGAGUU